rnacentral:rRNA from 1 species
CCUACGGGAGGCAGCAGUGGGGAAUCUUGCGCAAUGGCCGAGAGGCUGACGCAGCGACGCCGCGUGGGGGAUGAAGCAUUUCGGUGUGUAAACCCCUGUUGCUCGGGACGAACGAUCCUUUUCGAGGGAUGUGACGGUACCGAGUGAGGAAGCACCGGCUAACUCCGUGCCAGCAGCCGCGGUAAUACGGAGGGUGCGAGCGUUGUCCGGAAUCACUGGGCGUAAAGGGCGCGUAGGUGGUUAGAUGCGCCGGUGGUGAAAGCGCAGGGCUCAACCCUGCGUCGGCCAUCGGGACGGUCUGACUGGAGCACUGUAGAGGCAGGUGGAAUUCCGGGUGUAGCGGUGGAAUGCGUAGAGAUCCGGAAGAACACCGGUGGCGAAGGCGGCCUGCUGGGCAGUUGCUGACACUGAGGCGCGACAGCGUGGGGAGCAAACAGGAUUAGAUACCCUGGUAGUCCACGCCGUAAACGAUGGGCACUAGGUGCUUGGGGGAGCGACCCCCUGAGUGCGCGCACGCAUAAGUGCCCGCCGUCGGGGAGGUACGACCGCCGACGGUAGAACGUACGAAAGGAAAGUUAGUACGGCGUGAGACGUCGCCGACGGACGACGACCGAGGGAGGGAGGG